GGAGGGUGCGAGCGUUGUCCGGAAUCACUGGGCGUAAAGGGCGCGUAGGUGGCCUGUGGAAGUCUGCGGUGAAAGCCCGGCGCUCAACGCCGGGUCGGCCGUGGAUACUCUCGGGCUUGAGCUUACUAGAGGCAGAUGGAAUUCCGGGUGUAGCGGUGGAAUGCGUAGAGAUCCGGAAGAACACCGGUGGCGAAGGCGGUCUGCUGGGGUAAUGCUGACACUGAUGCGCGACAGCGUGGGGAGCAAACAGGAUUAGAUACCCUGGUAGUCCACGCCGUAAACGAUGGGCACUAGGUGCUUGGGGGAGCGACCCCCUGAGUGCCGUCGCUAACGCAUUAAGUGCCCCGCCUGGGGAGUACGGCCGCAAGGCUG
rnacentral:rRNA from 1 species